rnacentral:tRNA from 1 species
GGUUCUAUGGUGUAGUAGUUAGCACUCAGGACUCUGAAUCCUGCGACCCGAGUUCAAAUGGGACCU